rnacentral:rRNA from 1 species
CCUACGGGAGGCAGCAGUGAGGAAUAUUGGUCAAUGGGCGCAAGCCUGAACCAGCCAAGUAGCGUGAAGGAUGACUGCCCUAUGGGUUGUAAACUUCUUUUAUAUGGGAAUAACGCGCAGUACGUGUAGUGCUUUGCAUGUACCCUAUGAAUAAGGCUCGGCUAACUCCGUGCCAGCAGCCGCGGUAAUACGGAGGAUCCGAGCGUUAUCCGGUUUUUUUGGGGUUAAAGGGUGCGUAGGCGGAAUGCCAAGUCAGCGGUAAAAUCGCGGGGCUAAACCCCGCUCCGCCGUUGAAACUGGCGUUCUUGAGUGGGCGAGAAGUAGGCGGAAUGCGUGGUGUAGCGGUGAAAUGCAUAGAUAUCACGCAGAACUCCGAUUGCGAAGGCAGCAUACCGGCGCCCAACUGACGCUGAAGCACGAAAGCGUGGGUAUCGAACAGGAUUAGAUACCCGUGUAGUC